GUAGGGAAUAUUGGGCAAUGGAGGCAACCCUGAUCCAGCCAUUCCGCGUGAGUGAAGAAGGCCUUCGGGUUGUAAAGCUCUUUCGGCAGGAACGAAACGGUGAGCUCUAACAUAGCUCGCUAAUGACGGUACCUGAAGAAGAAGCACCGGCUAACUACGUGCCAGCAGCCGCGGUAAUACGUAGGGUGCGAGCGUUAAUCGGAAUUACUGGGCGUAAAGCGUGCGCAGGCGGUUGUGUAAGACAGGUGUGAAAUCCCCGGGCUUAACCUGGGAACUGCGCUUGUGACUGCACGGCUAGAGUAUGGCAGAGGGGGGUGGAAUUCCACGUGUAGCAGUGAAAUGCGUAGAGAUGUGGAGGAACACCGAUGGCGAAGGCAGCCCCCUGGGCCAAUACUGACGCUCAUGCACGAAAGCGUGGGGAGCAAACAGGAUUAGAUACCCUGGUAGUCC
rnacentral:rRNA from 1 species